rnacentral:ncRNA from 1 species
AAAUAAAUUUUUUAUGGUUUAAAAAAUUUAUAAUAAGUUUAUUUUACAUAUAAAUUUUAGUGUUAAUUUUUAAUUAUUUUAAUAAUAAUUAUUUUUUUUUAUAGUAAUUAGUUUUAAAAAUUUAAGAAAUUAAGAUUUAGUAAUUCAAAAAUUUUUAACUAAUUUUGUGCCAGCAGUUGCGGUUAUACAAAAAAUAAUAUAAAUUUUUUUAGUAAAUUAGUUAAUAAAUUAAUUUAAUAAAUUAAAUUUUAAAUUAUUAAGUGAAAUUUUAAUUUAAUAUAAUUUUAUAAUGAAAUUGUGUUUACUAAUAAAUUUUAUUAAAAACUAGGAUUAGAUACCCUAUUAUUAAAAAUUUAAAUUAAAAAUACUAAAAUAGUAAAUAAUUAUUUAUUGAAACUUAAAUAAUUUGGCGGUAUUUUAGUUCAUUUAGAGGAAUCUGUUUAUUAAUUGAUAAUCCACGAAUAAAUUUACUUAAUUUAAAAGUUUAUAUAUCGUUGUUAAAAAAAUAUUUUUUAAUAAAAAUAAUAUUUUAAAAUUUAAAUAAAAAAUUAAAUCAGAUCAAGAUGUAGUUUAUAAUUAAGAAUAUAAUGGAUUACAAUAAAUUUAUUUAUAUGGCUUUUAAUUUGAAAUAAUUAAAUAAAAGUGGAUUUAACUGUAAUUUUUUUUAAUUUAAAAAAAUGAUUAAAAAUUAAAAUAUGUACAUAUUGCCCGUCGCUUUCAUUUAAAAAUUGAAAUAAGUCGUAACAAAGUAGAGGUACUGGAAAGUGUUUCUAGAAAGAU